rnacentral:tRNA from 1 species
CGGGACGUAGCGCAGCCUGGUAGCGCGUUCGCUUGGGGUGCGAGAGGUCGCAAGUUCAAAUCUUGUCGUCCCGACCA